UUGACCCUUUGUCUGAAAGAUACCGGGGUUUGGGAAGGAAGGUAAUAUUGUACUGAAAUUUAAGCGCCUUUUGUUAAAUAUCAAGGAAAACAGAAUAUAUGGUCUGAUCAGCAACUCCAUUGCAAUUUGAAAAUAUGUAAUCAGCUGGAAGCGAUGUGCCCAACCUUAAUCGGUGCUGGAGCCUUUGGAAGAGAGAGAUUGUGUCAUCACACAGUAUAUAGUCCAACAAUGACUGACCUUGGUGAAUCUGUGAAAGAAGAAAAUAGUUUUCUCACUUCUUAAAUUGCAAAAUGCACAAAAGAAAAAAAAAUAGUAGAACACGUGGAAUUUAACCCAUUCAAGUUUUUAGAUUCUCUGGGGCUUAGGGGAGGUUUUGGGGCAGGGGGACUGUUGAAGAAUAAUUUGAUGAUCAUGUGCAGUGAUAAAGAGGUCUUAAUCACACACAUGAACUCUUGAUUUUGGGAAUGUGAAUAUUUAUACCAAAUCUGGCUGAAUACUUAAACCGAGCAUGCACGUAAGCUUUUAAGGAACUGAAUACUAAGUCUUGCAGGUAAGACACUGCCGAAUUAAGAAUAAGCAUUUUUGUGCCAA